rnacentral:rRNA from 1 species
GGUUAAGCGACUAAGCGUACACGGUGGAUGCCCUGGCAGUCAGAGGCGAUGAAGGACGUGCUAAUCUGCGAUAAGCGUCGGUAAGGUGAUAUGAACCGUUAUAACCGGCGAUUUCCGAAUGGGGAAACCCAGUGUGAUUCGUCACACUAUCAUUAACUGAAUCCAUAGGUUAAUGAGGCGAACCGGGGGAACUGAAACAUCUAAGUACCCCGAGGAAAAGAAAUCAACCGAGAUUCCCCCAGUAGCGGCGAGCGAACGGGGAGCAGCCCAGAGCCUGAAUCAGUGUGUGUGUUAGUGGAAGCGUCUGGAAAGGCGCGCGAUACAGGGUGACAGCCCCGUACACAAAAAUGCACAUGCUGUGAGCUCGAUGAGUAGGGCGGGACACGUGGUAUCCUGUCUGAAUAUGGGGGGACCAUCCUCCAAGGCUAAAUACUCCUGACUGACCGAUAGUGAACCAGUACCGUGAGGGAAAGGCGAAAAGAACCCCGGCGAGGGGAGUGAAAAAGAACCUGAAACCGUGUACGUACAAGCAGUGGGAGCACAGAGCAAUCUGUGUGACUGCGUACCUUUUGUAUAAUGGGUCAGCGACUUAUAUUCUGUAGCAAGGUUAACCGAAUAGGGGAGCCGAAGGGAAACCGAGUCUUAACUGGGCGUUAAGUUGCAGGGUAUAGACCCGAAACCCGGUGAUCUAGCCAUGGGCAGGUUGAAGGUUGGGUAACACUAACUGGAGGACCGAACCGACUAAUGUUGAAAAAUUAGCGGAUGACUUGUGGCUGGGGGUGAAAGGCCAAUCAAACCGGGAGAUAGCUGGUUCUCCCCGAAAGCUAUUUAGGUAGCGCCUCGUGAAUUCAUCUCCGGGGGUAGAGCACUGUUUCGGCAAGGGGGUCAUCCCGACUUACCAACCCGAUGCAAACUGCGAAUACCGGAGAAUGUUAUCACGGGAGACACACGGCGGGUGCUAACGUCCGUCGUGAAGAGGGAAACAACCCAGACCGCCAGCUAAGGUCCCAAAGUCAUGGUUAAGUGGGAAACGAUGUGGGAAGGCCCAGACAGCCAGGAUGUUGGCUUAGAAGCAGCCAUCAUUUAAAGAAAGCGUAAUAGCUCACUGGUCGAGUCGGCCUGCGCGGAAGAUGUAACGGGGCUAAACCAUGCACCGAAGCUGCGGCAGCGACACUGUGUGUUGUUGGGUAGGGGAGCGUUCUGUAAGCCUGUGAAGGUGUGCUGUGAGGCAUGCUGGAGGUAUCAGAAGUGCGAAUGCUGACAUAAGUAACGAUAAAGCGGGUGAAAAGCCCGCUCGCCGGAAGACCAAGGGUUCCUGUCCAACGUUAAUCGGGGCAGGGUGAGUCGACCCCUAAGGCGAGGCCGAAAGGCGUAGUCGAUGGGAAACAGGUUAAUAUUCCUGUACUUGGUGUUACUGCGAAGGGGGGACGGAGAAGGCUAUGUUGGCCGGGCGACGGUUGUCCCGGUUUAAGCGUGUAGGCUGGUUUUCCAGGCAAAUCCGGAAAAUCAAGGCUGAGGCGUGAUGACGAGGCACUACGGUGCUGAAGCAACAAAUGCCCUGCUUCCAGGAAAAGCCUCUAAGCAUCAGGUAACAUCNNNNNNNNNNNNNNNNNNNNNNNNNNNNNNNNNNNNNNNNNNNNNNNNNNNNNNNNNNNNNNNNNNNNNNNNNNNNNNNNNNNNNNNNNNNNNNNNNAUGGAGCUGAAAUCAGUCGAAGAUACCAGCUGGCUGCAACUGUUUAUUAAAAACACAGCACUGUGCAAACACGAAAGUGGACGUAUACGGUGUGACGCCUGCCCGGUGCCGGAAGGUUAAUUGAUGGGGUCAGCGCAAGCGAAGCUCUUGAUCGAAGCCCCGGUAAACGGCGGCCGUAACUAUAACGGUCCUAAGGUAGCGAAAUUCCUUGUCGGGUAAGUUCCGACCUGCACGAAUGGCGUAAUGAUGGCCAGGCUGUCUCCACCCGAGACUCAGUGAAAUUGAACUCGCUGUGAAGAUGCAGUGUACCCGCGGCAAGACGGAAAGACCCCGUGAACCUUUACUAUAGCUUGACACUGAACAUUGAGCCUUGAUGUGUAGGAUAGGUGGGAGGCUUUGAAGUGUGGACGCCAGUCUGCAUGGAGCCGACCUUGAAAUACCACCCUUUAAUGUUUGAUGUUCUAACGUUGACCCGUGAUCCGGGUUGCGGACAGUGUCUGGUGGGUAGUUUGACUGGGGCGGUCUCCUCCUAAAGAGUAACGGAGGAGCACGAAGGUUGGCUAAUCCUGGUCGGACAUCAGGAGGUUAGUGCAAUGGCAUAAGCCAGCUUGACUGCGAGCGUGACGGCGCGAGCAGGUGCGAAAGCAGGUCAUAGUGAUCCGGUGGUUCUGAAUGGAAGGGCCAUCGCUCAACGGAUAAAAGGUACUCCGGGGAUAACAGGCUGAUACCGCCCAAGAGUUCAUAUCGACGGCGGUGUUUGGCACCUCGAUGUCGGCUCAUCACAUCCUGGGGCUGAAGUAGGUCCCAAGGGUAUGGCUGUUCGCCAUUUAAAGUGGUACGCGAGCUGGGUUUAGAACGUCGUGAGACAGUUCGGUCCCUAUCUGCCGUGGGCGCUGGAGAACUGAGGGGGGCUGCUCCUAGUACGAGAGGACCGGAGUGGACGCAUCACUGGUGUUCGGGUUGUCAUGCCAAUGGCACUGCCCGGUAGCUAAAUGCGGAAGAGAUAAGUGCUGAAAGCAUCUAAGCACGAAACUUGCCCCGAGAUGAGUUCUCCCUGACCCUUUAAGGGUCCUGAAGGAACGUUGAAGACGACGACGUUGAUAGGCCGGGUGUGUAAGCGCAGCGAUGCGUUGAGCUAACCGGUACUAAUGAACCGUGAGGCUUAACCUU